UCAAGAAAGCGGGAUAGGCGCCC
rnacentral:siRNA from 1 species